CGCUGAAAGCAUAUAAGCGGGAAGCCCCCUCCAAGAUAAGGUAUCCCAGGUCGUAAGACCUCUAAAGACCCCUCGUAGACUACGAGGUUGAUAGGCCGGAUGUGGAAGGCCAGUAAUGGUCGAAGCUAACCGGUACUAAUUGGUCGUGCGGCUUGACCAUAU
rnacentral:rRNA from 1 species